rnacentral:rRNA from 1 species
GUACACUCCUGCGGGAGGCAGCAGUGGGGAAUUUUGGACAAUGGGCGAAAGCCUGAUCCAGCAAUGCCGCGUGAGUGAAGAAGGCCUUCGGGUUGUAAAGCUCUUUUGUCAGGGAAGAAACGGUGAAAGCUAAUAUCUUUUGCUAAUGACGGUACCUGAAGAAUAAGCACCGGCUAACUACGUGCCAGCAGCCGCGGUAAUACGUAGGGUGCAAGCGUUAAUCGGAAUUACUGGGCGUAAAGCGUGCGCAGGCGGUUUUGUAAGUCUGAUGUGAAAUCCCCGGGCUCAACCUGGGAAUUGCAUUGGAGACUGCAAGGCUAGAAUCUGGCAGAGGGGGGUAGAAUUCCACGUGUAGCAGUGAAAUGCGUAGAUAUGUGGAGGAACACCGAUGGCGAAGGCAGCCCCCUGGGUCAAGAUUGACGCUCAUGCACGAAAGCGUGGGGAGCAAACAGGAUUAGAAACCCGGGUAGUCC